ACAUGGUGCCGUCCGGCUGCACAGCGGACAUGACACAGCAGCGAGGCCGCAACUAGGCGUACGUAAACGUAGGUGAAAUCAUUAUAUGGUUGCCGCUUCACUGUUGGUUCAUGGAGGUGGAAAGUGGUUGGACUUAAAGCCACUUUUUCAGCUCUUGCCGUUUGUUUAUUUGACUGGAGGGGGACGACCACUUCAAGUUCACUGGAAAACACGAGCGACCGUCCAUGGCCGCUCACUCGGGGGUUGAAGCAGCACCCAACGCAGGCCAGCCGGAUUCCUCGGUAAUCUGCUGGUGUUGUGUCCUCCCUUUUAGAUGUCCCAUAUCUUUGGGCUUUGCUCCCAGUAAAUUCCAGGGAGAACUGCUGGAUGGUCCAUUGCAGUUUCCACAGUCCACAGCCUUCCUUUGUUGAGCUAAGUGGCUGUCUGUUAGGACACUUCUGCUCACCAUUUUGAGACAUCGAUACAGUAGUUUCAUUCCCCGACUGUCCAUUUACAUCCACAUACACUUCAAAACAGUGAAUUUUCAUUUCCAGGAUUGACAUCCUCUGCAGCAGUCCGUGAUAGUCCUCAGCGGAAAAGGGGGCAUCUUGAUUGCUGGUCUUGUUGUUAAUAGCAAUGGUCAGAACCUUGAAAAUGUAUUAUUUAUUCCCCCUCCAAAAACAGUCAGGGUUUUUCCAAGAAUAAAGUUGCAUGUUUUUCAGAGAUUGAAACAACA